AACUAAAACAGAGAAGCUAACCG
rnacentral:siRNA from 1 species